rnacentral:rRNA from 1 species
UACGUAGGUGACGAGCGUUAUCCGGAAUUAUUGGGCGUAAAGCGCACGCAAGCGGUCUGUCAAGUCUGACGUGAAAUCUCUUGGCUUAACUGGGAGCGGUCGUUGGAAACUGAUAGGCUUGAGGCGAUGAGAGGGGUGCAGAAUUCCUGGUGUAGUGGUGGAAUGCGUAGAGAUCAGGAGGAAUACCUGUGGCGAAAGCGGCACCCGGGCGUCGUUUUGACGAUCAUGUGCGAAGGCGUGGGGAGCGAACGGG